CUGUGUCCUCAAGAAAGAUCUGUUGAAGCCCUCACCCCACACCUGUGCAUGUGGUCUCAUAAUUUGGAAGUAUGGUCCUUGCAGAUGUUUUCAAGUUAAGAUGAGUCAGUAGGCUGGGCUCUAAUCCAACAUGACUGGUAUCCUUAUGAGAAGAGGGAAAUGCAGACACGGACAUGAAACCGCAUACAAGCCCCCGGGUCCUUGUCUUUUGAAGUAAAGGCUGACUCAGGAGUUAAUGAUGAGAAACGUGAAGAUGUAGAGACAAAGAAAGAGCUGUUGGGCUGGGGACCUGGUAACAGUUUAGACUAUAAUUCUGCCACAUGGCAGAAUCACCAAACUCCCAGUUCCCUAAAAGAUACAGAUAAAGGCCUGACACACAUUCCUAAGUUGUUUGUACAGGACACAGAUCCCCACCGGAUGAAAACUGCUGACCACAAGGGCAUAGACCCCAGACUGGUUGAAACCAGAAGGUUGAUGAUGCUUGAAACUUCACCUUGGUGCCAACCAUUCCGAGAACUGCCCACGAGCUGACCACGCCCUGCUCCUUGGACACUAGACCGAGUUUCGGCAACAGACACACAGUGAGGACACCAUGGAUGACAGAAGCAGACCGUGUGUGGCAGCCACAAGCCAAGAAAGGCCAAGGAUUGCUGGCAAACCGCCAGAAACUAAGAGGAGGAGGAACGUUUCUACGGCUACAUUACAGGAGGAAAGUAAUCUAAGCUACUUUAUGUGAUAUUUUAUAGAGAACUAAAAAUGUAAUGGUCAUCAAAUUUUCAAAAGCAGACUAUAGAAUAUAGAACUCAAUAAAUAUGUCCUAUAAUAAAAGGAAUCAUUUAAACUCUACCUUGCGAUCAGUUAGAGAAAAAGGGAAAGAGAUGGGACUAAAGAAUAGUUUUAAGAAAGAACGAGAAGAAACAGAAGGAUAAAAACAUAAAAUCAAUGACGGGAGAGAAUCAGGAGCAAGACAGAGGUCGGUCCACGAGGUCACGGAGCCUGGGACCGACUCCCACACAGGAAAAACUAUCGGUUUGUGUCUGCCGGAAAUUCAUGUGUAUGGAACACCGGCAUUUUGAAAAAACAUUCUGAGGAAAUCUUUCAUGAAUAUAAGAUUUCGACAUUUCCAGCACGGCAACUAUUAACAAGAAAAUCCCCUCCUCUUUUCUUUCACCCCGGUGGUAGACAUGGAUGAAAUACAAAUACUGAAAAAAUAAAUACCUUUACUAAAUUCUACCAACAUACAGUAAACUUUGAAAUCUCUGGCCCUAAGAAAUGUUUUCUUUUUGCUUAAAAGGCUAUUAACAAGUAAGUAUUGGGGUUAAAGACAUGUAAGCCCCAGACAGACUUUUCCUCAUAUCACAACCAUAAAGAAAAAUAACUAAAAAGGGAAAGGAAUAUGUUUUCCCCUGUGUGAGAUGUUACUGACUGUCACGUCUACAAACCAUAUAAAAUUAACACAUUUCCUUCAGUGAGCAUCCCACACUUAAGGAAAUACAGUAAUAACGCAUGGUGUUAGUUCCUGACUGUGACAUAAACUGAGGCAGCAGAUGGAUGGGCCCCUGGGCUGGACAGCUGGGGUUUGCCCAUGGAGUAACUCUGAAGCUUGGUUCUCACCCAGAUGCUCCAAGGACAAAGCCAGUGGCAGAAGCUGAGCUCUGCUGAAGUAAAGAGAUAAGAUGAGCACUCCUGAGGUCAAGGAAAACCUCCUGUCUGCGUAUGUGCAGGAAGGCUCCUUGGGGGUCAAAAACGGGGGGGGCUGCCACCCCGUAAUAAGUGUGGACCUGCACCCACAGGCCUCUGCGGUGGGAUCCGUCUUAGCAAAAAGUUGUGCACGCAUGUCGGGGAGGUCCUGGGACCAGUCAGGUGUGAAAAAAGAAACUAGACAAUUGGCCACAUGUGAACAAAGACCCGGAAGGACUGUCCUAUAUAUGUGAUUUAACUCACCUCCUUACUGUACUCCUCCUGUUAGAGAGGACGCCCACACCCUUUCCCUCUGGGUGUGUAUUUCUUCCUAGCUUCUGACUUAAGUAAAUAAACUGCUUCUCUGUGUGCUC